UACGAAGGGUGCAAGCGUUGUCCGGAAUUACUGGGCGUAAAGAGCUCGUAGGCGGUUUGUCGCGUCUGCUGUGAAAACUCGAGGCUCAACCUCGGGCUUGCAGUGGGUACGGGCAGACUAGAGUGCGGUAGGGGUGACUGGAAUUCCUGGUGUAGCGGUGGAAUGCGCAGAUAUCAGGAGGAACACCGAUGGCGAAGGCAGGUCGCUGGGCCGCAACUGACGCUGAGGAGCGAAAGCAUGGGGAGCAAACAGG
rnacentral:rRNA from 1 species